rnacentral:misc_RNA from 1 species
UUUCCGUAGGUGAACCUGCGGAAGGAUCAUUGUCGAAACCUGCCCAGCAGAACGACCCGCGAACUUGUAUAAACAACUGGGGGCGGGGGGCGUUCUCGCCCCGUGCCCCCGAACGGCGGGGAGACACUCGUGCCUUCUUGCCGAACAACGAACCCCGGCGCGGUCUGCGCCAAGGAACUUCAACUAAAGAGUGCCUCCGGUCGCCUCGGAAACAGCGUGCGUGCCGGAGGCGAAUCUUGUGCAAAACCAUAACGACUCUCGGCAACGGAUAUCUCGGCUCUC